UGAGCGUCGCGCGUUCCAAGUUCCUACUGGAGCUUAAUUGGUGGCAGCUGUACGCAAUCAGCAAUCAGGGAACCCAGAGACAGUAAAUAAGAGCUUCACAGCAAGUCACACAUUGGAAGGAGCCUUAAAACGCCCUCCGCUGACCCUGGUGCCAGAUUCAAAUUAAAAGUGUCAUUAAAAACUGACUGAAAACACACUUUGAGACUUUGAGACCAGAGUAUCGUCAAAUAAAAAGGCAGGACAAAGGUCUGUAGAUGUCAUUAUAUCGACUGGUACAUGGAACCUGUCACUCCUGCAGCACUUGGGCUGCAGCCGAGUUGUCCUUGUUUGCUUUGGAAGGUUCCUAACAGAGUGAAACAACCUGCAGCACCACAUGACAUCAGCGUGCCAACUCAUGUACCGACAUUUAUGAGUGACAGCUUGGGAGGGCGUUCACGUGAAUUUUCCCAGUUGGAUCCAAUACUUUUUCUGAAGUCCUUAUGAAUAGUCCCUCACAGUUUUUUGGACUACAGGACAAUGUUGAGCACACAUUCAGUCUUCCUCUGCUGGGCGACAGGCCAGUGGAUCUGACCGAGAAAGAUCAACAAGCUGAUCCAGAGAGAGGAUGUAAUCUUUGCUGCCCACAUACAUGCGGUCGUGGUCCUCGUCCAUGCGAAGGAUCCGAUAGUCGGUGGAGUUCAGCAGAAAGGAGAAGUGGUGAGCGGUGCCGGUGGACUUCAACUCUGUGAG